GCUGUCUAGUAUAAGCAUUAUACCGUGAACUGCGAAUGGCUCAUUAAAUCAGUUAUCGUUUAUUUGAUAAUACCUUACUACUUGGAUAACCGUGGUAAUUCUAGAGCUAAUACAUGCUGAAAAUCCCGACUUCGGAAGGGAUGUGUUUAUUAGAUAAAAAACCAAUGCCCUUCGGGGCUCUUUGGUGAUUCAUGAUAACUUUACGGAUCGCAUAGCCUUGCGCUGGCGACGGUUCAUUCAAAUUUCUGCCCUAUCAACUUUCGAUGGUAAGGUAUUGGCUUACCAUGGUUUCAACGGGUAACGGGGAAUUAGGGUUCGAUUCCGGAGAGGGAGCCUGAGAAACGGCUACCACAUCCAAGGAAGGCAGCAGGCGCGCAAAUUACCCAAUCCCGACACGGGGAGGUAGUGACAAUAAAUACUGAUACAGGGCUCUUUUGGGUCUUGUAAUUGGAAUGAGUACAAUUUAAACCUCUUAACGAGGAACAAUUGGAGGGCAAGUCUGGUGCCAGCAGCCGCGGUAAUUCCAGCUCCAAUAGCGUAUAUUAAAGUUGUUGCAGUUAAAAAGCUCGUAGUUGAAACUUGGGCCUGGCUGGCGGGUCCGCCUCACCGCGUGCACUCGUCCGGCCGGGCCUUCCUUCUGAAGAACCUCAUGCCCUUCACUGGGCGUGUUGGGGAAUCAGGACUUUUACUUUGAAAAAAUUAGAGUGUUCAAAGCAGGCCUUUGCUCGAAUACGUUAGCAUGGAAUAAUAAAAUAGGGCGUGCGUUUCUAUUUUGUUGGUUUCUAGAGACGCCGCAAUGAUUAACAGGAACAGUCGGGGGCAUCAGUAUUCAGUUGUCAGAGGUGAAAUUCUUGGAUUUACUGAAGACUAACUACUGCGAAAGCAUUUGCCAAGGAUGUUUUUCAUUAAUCAGUGAACGAAGUUAGGGGAUCGGAGGACGAUCAGAUACCGUCGUAGUCUAACCGUAACUAUGCGACUAGGGAUCGGGCGAUGUCUUUUUGUGACUCGCUCGGCACUACGAGAAAUCAAGUUUUGGUUCUGGGGGGAUUAUGGUCGCAGGCUGACCUAGAUGUUACGUCGACAAAGCAUAUCUGUGUUCUUUUUC
rnacentral:rRNA from 1 species